GCUCCCAAGAAUGAAUGGCUAAUCUGUUCUACUUGCUCCUGUACCCAGGCAACUCACUCAACACCAGGCUCACAGAGGGUCUUCGGAGAUUGUUGCUCCAAGGGUGAGCAAGUGCAUGAGGGCCUGGCCUGGCACAUCGGAGCAUUUCCACACUUCUGCACCUUUGCUUCUGGAGCCCCCACUGCUGAGAAUGCCUUCCCACCACCAACUCAAGCAUCAUCACUUCCUGGGAUGGUCGCUCACAAAAAGAAUUGGCUCUUCCUGUGUGUGACUGCGUUCUUCUCCUCUUUUCCAUAUCUGGGUAAUCACACAAUCGUCUCUGUUCUCUGUUGCUGCAUCAGGCCUCACUGGUUCCUAGUGCCUGUUUGCUCGUGUGUGUGUGUGUGUGUGUGUGUGUGUGUGUGUGUGUGUGUGUGUGUGUGUGUGAGAUGUCCAGGUGUGCGCAUGCACAAAUGACUGUUGUCAGAAGUGCUGUGGUGUCUGUAGCCAUGGCGGCAGUGCUGCAUUCCUGCUGUGACAAUUUCUCCCACUGAUGACUCCAUCCCCAGGGCCUUGGGAGCACUGAGAAGCUUCUGUCAAG
rnacentral:lncRNA from 1 species